CAGUCGUGCCGGCGUUGGAUUCAACUUGCUUCGCGGAGCAGGCGUAUUUCCGCGCAUGGCAGGUCAGCGUCAGUUUUGCGCGGCGUGAAAAGGCUCGGGUAAGGUAGCUCUCUUCGGGGAGUGUUAUAGACCUGGGCAGAUGCGCUGCGCGGGACUGAGGAUUGCAGCGGACCACCCCUGGGGGCCGGCCGACCGAACCCUGCCUCGGCCACCCUCGUUCGAUACGCGUGCUAGCGGA
rnacentral:rRNA from 1 species